rnacentral:rRNA from 1 species
AACGAUGAUGCCCAGCUUGCUGGGUGGAUUAGUGGCGAACGGGUGAGUAAUACGUGAGUAACCUGCCCUUGACUCUGGGAUAAGCCUGGGAAACUGGGUCUAAUACUGGAUACUACUUCCUGCCGCAUGGUGGGUGGUGGAAAGGGUUUUACUGGUUUUGGAUGGGCUCACGGCCUAUCAGCUUGUUGGUGGGGUAAUGGCUCACCAAGGCGACGACGGGUAGCCGGCCUGAGAGGGUGACCGGCCACACUGGGACUGAGACACGGCCCAGACUCCUACGGGAGGCAGCAGUGGGGAAUAUUGCACAAUGGGCGGAAGCCUGAUGCAGCGACGCCGCGUGAGGGAUGACGGCCUUCGGGUUGUAAACCUCUUUCAGUAGGGAAGAAGCGAGAGUGACGGUACCUGCAGAAGAAGCGCCGGCUAACUACGUGCCAGCAGCCGCGGUAAUACGUAGGGCGCAAGCGUUGUCCGGAAUUAUUGGGCGUAAAGAGCUCGUAGGCGGUUUGUCGCGUCUGCUGUGAAAGCCCGGGGCUCAACCCCGGGUCUGCAGUGGGUACGGGCAGACUAGAGUGCAGUAGGGGAGACUGGAAUUCCUGGUGUAGCGGUGAAAUGCGCAGAUAUCAGGAGGAACACCGAUGGCGAAGGCAGGUCUCUGGGCUGUUACUGACGCUGAGGAGCGAAAGCAUGGGGAGCGAACAGGAUUAGAUACCCUGGUAGUCCAUGCCGUAAACGUUGGGCACUAGGUGUGGGGGACAUUCCACGUUUUCCGCGCCGUAGCUAACGCAUUAAGUGCCCCGCCUGGGGAGUACGGCCGCAAGGCUAAAACUCAAAGGAAUUGACGGGGGCCCGCACAAGCGGCGGAGCAUGCGGAUUAAUUCGAUGCAACGCGAAGAACCUUACCAAGGCUUGACAUUCACCGGACCGCCCCAGAGAUGGGGUUUCCCUUCGGGGCUGGUGGACAGGUGGUGCAUGGUUGUCGUCAGCUCGUGUCGUGAGAUGUUGGGUUAAGUCCCGCAACGAGCGCAACCCUCGUUCUAUGUUGCCAGCACGUGAUGGUGGGGACUCAUAGGAGACUGCCGGGGUCAACUCGGAGGAAGGUGGGGAUGACGUCAAAUCAUCAUGCCCCUUAUGUCUUGGGCUUCACGCAUGCUACAAUGGCCGGUACAAAGGGUUGCGAUACUGUGAGGUGGAGCUAAUCCCAAAAAGCCGGUCUCAGUUCGGAUUGAGGUCUGCAACUCGACCUCAUGAAGUCGGAGUCGCUAGUAAUCGCAGAUCAGCAACGCUGCGGUGAAUACGUUCCCGGGCCUUGUACACACCGCCCGUCAAGUCACGAAAGUUGGUAACACCCGAAGCCGGUGGCCUA